UACGUAGGGUCCGAGCGUUGUCCGGAAUUAUUGAGCGUAAAGGGCUCGUAGGCGGUUUGUCACGUCGGGAGUGAAAACUCAGGGCUCAACCCUGAGCGUGCUUCCGAUACGGGCAGACUAGAGGUAUGCAGGGGAGAACGGAAUUCCUGGUGUAGCGGUGGAAUGCGCAGAUAUCAGGAGGAACACCGGUGGCGAAGGCGGGUCUCUGGGCAGUAACUGACGCUGAGGAGCGAAAGCGUGGGGAGCGAACAGG
rnacentral:rRNA from 1 species